rnacentral:lncRNA from 1 species
CUGGCUCCACCACUAUCACUAGCAGGUCUACUGGACUGAGUGGAUACAUCUCCACCACUAUCACUAGCAGGCCUACUGGACUGAGUGGAUACAUCUCCACGUGUGGAGGUACUGGCUCCACCACUAUCACUAGCAGGUCUACUGGACUGAGUGGAUACAUCUCCACCACUAUCACUAGCAGGCCUACUGGACUGAGUGGAUACAUGUCCAUGUGUGGAGGUACUGGCUCCACCACUAUCACUAGCAGGUCUACUGGACUGACUGGACACAUCUCCACCACUAUCACUAGCAGGUCUACUGGACUGAGUGGAUACAUCUCCAUGUGUGGAGGUACUGGCUCCACCACUAUCACUAGCAGGUCUACUGGACUGAGUGGAUACAUCUCCACCACUAUCACUAGCAGGCCUACUGGACUGAAUGGAUACAUCUCCACGUGUGGAGGUGCUGGCUCCACCACUAUCACUAGCAUGUCUACUUGACUGAGUGGAUACAUCUCCACGUGUGGAGGUGCUGGCUCCACCACUAUCACUAGCAUGUCUACUUGACUGAGUGGAUACAUCUCCACGUGUGGAGGUGCUGGCUCCACCACUAUCACUAGCAGGCCUACUGGACUGAGUGGGUACUGGCUCCACCACUAUCACUAGCAGGUCUACUGGACUGACUGGACACAUCUCCACCACUAUCACUAGCAGGUCUACUGGACUGAGUGGAUACAUCUCCACCACUAUCACUAGCAGGUCUACUGGACUGAGUGGAUACAUCUCCACCACUAUCACUAGCAGGUCUACUGGACUGAGUGGAUACAUCCCCACCACUAUCACUAGCAGGUCUACUGGACUGAGUGGAUACAUCUCCACCACUAACACUAGCAGGUCUACUGGACUGAGUGGAUACAUCUCCACCACUAUCACUAGCAGGUCUACUGGACUGAGUGGAUACAUAUCCACCACUAUCACUAGCAGGCCUACUGGACUGAGUGGAUACAUCUCCAUGUGUGGAGGUACUGGCUCCACCACUAUCAC